GACAGAGGGUGCAAGCGUUGUUCGGAAUUACUGGGCGUAAAGCGCGUGUAGGCGGCCCGGCAAGUCGGAUGUGAAAGCCCUGGGCUUAACCCAGGAAGUGCAUUCGAAACUCCCGGGCUUGAGUUCUGGAGAGGAAGGCGGAAUUCUCGGUGUAGAGGUGAAAUUCGUAGAUAUCGAGAGGAACACCGGUGGCGAAGGCGGCCUUCUGGACAGUGACUGACGCUGAGACGCGAAAGCGUGGGGAGCAAACAGG
rnacentral:rRNA from 1 species